rnacentral:rRNA from 1 species
CGAACGAUGAACCACUUCGGUGGGGAUUAGUGGCGAACGGGUGAGUAACACGUGGGCAAUCUGCCCUGCACUCUGGGACAAGCCCUGGAAACGGGGUCUAAUACCGGAUACGAGUCUCCAAGGCAUCUUGGAGACUGUAAAGCUCCGGCGGUGCAGGAUGAGCCCGCGGCCUAUCAGCUUGUUGGUGAGGUAAUGGCUCACCAAGGCGACGACGGGUAGCCGGCCUGAGAGGGCGACCGGCCACACUGGGACUGAGACACGGCCCAGACUCCUACGGGAGGCAGCAGUGGGGAAUAUUGCACAAUGGGCGAAAGCCUGAUGCAGCGACGCCGCGUGAGGGAUGACGGCCUUCGGGUUGUAAACCUCUUUCAGCAGGGAAGAAGCGAAAGUGACGGUACCUGCAGAAGAAGCGCCGGCUAACUACGUGCCAGCAGCCGCGGUAAUACGUAGGGCGCGAGCGUUGUCCGGAAUUAUUGGGCGUAAAGAGCUCGUAGGCGGCUUGUCACGUCGGUUGUGAAAGCCCGGGGCUUAACCCCGGGUCUGCAGUCGAUACGGGCAGGCUAGAGUUCGGUAGGGGAGAUCGGAAUUCCUGGUGUAGCGGUGAAAUGCGCAGAUAUCAGGAGGAACACCGGUGGCGAAGGCGGAUCUCUGGGCCGAUACUGACGCUGAGGAGCGAAAGCGUGGGGAGCGAACAGGAUUAGAUACCCUGGUAGUCCACGCCGUAAACGGUGGGCACUAGGUGUGGGCAACAUUCCACGUUGUCCGUGCCGCAGCUAACGCAUUAAGUGCCCCGCCUGGGGAGUAC